CCUAAUAACCCAUUAUUUGAGCUCAAACAGCAUGCGUUAGAAGUAAUUUUAAAGCAUGAAGCCUGUUUAAAUGGAGCUAGAUUUCUAAGGACAAUGUAAUGUGAAUUCAUGUAAGCAAUUAUUGUUUGUAGAAAA
rfam:Lentinula edodes NBRC 111202 DNA, contig: scaffold1914.